rnacentral:rRNA from 1 species
UAACGCGUGAGAAUCUAGCUUCAGAACGGGGACAACAGAGGGAAACCACUGCUAAUACCCGAUGUGCCGAGAGGUGAAAGAUUUAUCAUCUGAAGAUGAGCUCGCGUCCGAUUAGCUAGUUGGUAAGGUAAGAGCUUACCAAGGCGACGAUCGGUAGCUGGUCUGAGAGGAUGACCAGCCACACUGGGACUGAGACACGGCCCAGACUCCUACGGGAGGCAGCAGUGGGGAAUUUUCCGCAAUGGGCGAAAGCCUGACGGAGCAAGACCGCGUGAGGGAGGAAGGCUCUUGGGUUGUAAACCUCUUUUCUCUGGGAAGAAGAUCUGACGGUACCAGAGGAAUCAGCAUCGGCUAACUCCGUGCCAGCAGCCGCGGUAAUACGGAGGAUGCAAGCGUUAUCCGGAAUUAUUGGGCGUAAAGCGUCCGUAGGUGGCGGUUCAAGUCUGCCGUUAAAACCAGUAGCUUAACUACUGACAGGCGGUGGAAACUGAACAGCUAGAGUGUGGUAGGGGUAGAGGGAAUUCCCAGUGUAGCGGUGAAAUGCGUAGAGAUUGGGAAGAACACCGGUGGCGAAAGCGCUCUGCUGGACCACAACUGACACUCACAGGACGAAAGCUAGGGGAGCGAAAGGGAUUAGAUACCCCAGAUAGUCACGCGUUAU